AUUCCUUCUUGGCCUCUUGGCUAGAAUUAAGUGUAAUAUCUGUUCUCAUUAUCUAAUUAUAUGAUAUGUCUGCUAUUCGGGACAAUGUCUUAAAUAGGUUGUUGGAGCUAGGAGUUGGAAUGGUGAACUAAGGGACUUGUUCCAUCCACUCCAUAAAGAGACCUGAAAUUGCAGUAUUUCUACAAAUAAUACACCUUU